AAUUUUGGACAAUGGGGGAAACCCUGAUCCAACCAUCCCGCGUGUAUGAUGAAGGCCUUCGGGUUGUAAAGUACUUUUGGCAGAGAAGAAAAGGUAUCCCCUAAUACGGGAUACUGCUGACGGUAUCUGCAGAAUAAGCACCGGCUAACUGCGUGCCAGCAGCCGCGGUACUACGUAGGCUGCAAGCGUUAAUCGGAAUUACUGGGCGUAAAGCGUGAGUAGGCGGUUCGGACAGAAAGAUGUGAAAUCCCAAGGCUCAAACUUGGAACUGCAUUUUGAACUGCCGAGCUAGAGUAUGUCAGAGGGGGGUAGAAUUCCACGUGUAGCGGUGGAAUGCGUAGAUAUGUGGAGGAAUACCGAUAGCGAAGGCAGCCCCCUGGGAUAAUACUGACGCUCAGACACGAAAGCGUGGGGAGCAAACAGG
rnacentral:rRNA from 1 species